rnacentral:rRNA from 1 species
CAUCUUUUCUUGUUAGUUUUUGAAGUAUGGCCUGCCCGCUGACUUUGGUGUUGAAGGGCCGCGGUAUUUUGACCGUGCAAAGGUAGCAUAGUCAUUAGUUCUUUAAUUGUGAUCUGGUAUGAAUGGCUUGACGAGGCAUGGGCUGUCUUAAUUUUGAAUUGUUUAUUGAAUUUAGUCUUUGAGUUAAAAUUCUUAGAUGUUUUUAUGGGACGAGAAGACCCUAUAGAGUUUGACAUUUGUUACGGCUCCCUUCUGUUUGUGAGGGUUCAUUGGGCCGUUUAAUAUGUUUUGUUGGGGUGAUGGGAGGGAUUAAUGAACCCCUCCUUUUGUUAUUAUAUUUAUUUAUAUUUACUUGAUCCAUUUAUUUUGAUUGUAAGAUUAAAUUACC